rnacentral:lncRNA from 1 species
GAUGUUGGGGUUCUAAAUUAUAAUAAGAUUAGGUUGAAUUGAUUAGACUUUGAUUAGGAUUUGAUUUAAGAUUAAGGUUGGAUUAGGAUUUAUAGUUUGAUUAAGGCUUGAUUAGUAUUUAGGAUUGGAUUAGAAUUAGAAUUUACUUAGAAUUUAUGUUUUAGGAUUUGCUUAGGAUUUGAAUAAGAUUUAGUUAGGAUUUAGAAUUCGAUUAGGAUUUAGGAUUUGAUUUAGGAUUUGCUUAAGGUUUAGGAUUUAGGAUUUGCUUUAGGAUUUGCUUAAGGUUUAGAAUUUAGAAUUUGAUUUAGUAUUUUCUUAGGAUUUAGGAUUUAAAAUUUAAGAUUUAGUUUAAAAUUUGCUUAAGAUUUAGGAUUUAGAAUUUAUUUAGGAUUUAAGAUUUAGAAUUUAUUUAAGGUUUAAGAUUUAAAGAUUGGCUUAAGAUUUGAUUGAAGUCCAUUAGGAUUUCAACUAGGAUUAAAUUAGGACUUGGUUGAGAUUUAUUUAAGAUAUAUUUGUGAUUAUUCUGAUAUUUCUUCAAGGUUUCUUAGAUAUUCUUUUAAAGUUUAUUACAAAUUUUUUUAAUUCUUUUAAGAUUUCUUAUUGUUUCU